rnacentral:rRNA from 1 species
GACGAACGCUGGCGGCGUGCCUAAUACAUGCAAGUAGAACGCUGAAGAGAGGAGCUUGCUCUUCUUGGAUGAGUUGCGAACGGGUGAGUAACGCGUAGGUAACCUGCCUUGUAGCGGGGGAUAACUAUUGGAAACGAUAGCUAAUACCGCAUAACAAUGGAUGACACAUGUCAUUUAUUUGAAAGGGGCAAUUGCUCCACUACAAGAUGGACCUGCGUUGUAUUAGCUAGUAGGUGAGGUAAUGGCUCACCUAGGCGACGAUACAUAGCCGACCUGAGAGGGGGAUCGGCCACACUGGGACUGAGACACGGCCCAGACUCCUACGGGAGGCAGCAGUAGGGAAUCUUCGGCAAUGGGGGCAACCCUGACCGAGCAACGCCGCGUGAGUGAAGAAGGUUUUCGGAUCGUAAAGUUCUGUUGUAAGUCAAGAACGGGUGUGAGAGUGGAAAGUUCACACUGUGACGGUAGCUUACCAGAAAGAGACGGCUAACUACGUG